UACAUAGGGGGCAAGCGUUGUCCGGAAUCACUGGGCGUAAAGGGAGCGUAGGUGGAAAUUUAAGUUAAGUGUGAAAGCCUUGAGCUUAACUCAAGAACUGCACUUAAUACUGGGUUUCUAGAGUGUUGGAGAGGUAAGUGGAAUUCCUAGUGUAGCGGUAGAAUGCGUAGAAAUUAGGAGGAACACCAGAGGCGAAGGCGACUUACUGGACAAUUACUGACGCUGAGGCUCGAAAGUGUGGGGAGCAAAC
rnacentral:rRNA from 1 species